GAUGAACGCUGGCGGCGUGCCUAAUACAUGCAAGUCGAGCGAAUGGAUUGAGAGCUUGCUCUUAUGAAGUUAGCGGCGGACGGGUGAGUAACACGUGGGUAACCUGCCCAUAAGACUGGGAUAACUCCGGGAAACCGGGGCUAAUACCGGAUAACAUUUUGAACCGCAUGGUUCGAAAUUGAAAGGCGGCUUCGGCUGUCACUUAUGGAUGGACCCGCGUCGCAUUAGCUAGGUGGUGAGGUAACGGCUCACCAAGGCAACGAUGCGUAGCCGACCUGAGAGGGUGAUCGGCCACACUGGGACUGAGACACGGCCCAGACUCCUACGGGAGGCAGCAGUAGGGAAUCUUCCGCAAUGGACGAAAGUCUGACGGAGCAACGCCGCGUGAGGGAUGACGGCCUUCGGGUUGUAAACCUCUUUUAGUAGGGAAGAACAAGUGCUAGUUGAAUAAGCUGGCACCUUGACGGUAUCUAACCAGAAAGCCACGGCUAACUACGUGCCAGCCGCCGCAGUAA
rnacentral:rRNA from 1 species